ensembl:lncRNA
AUGACUAGGGACCCAGCAAAUGUUAUUGUAGACAUGGAUAUAGCUUUUGUAUAUCUCAUACUCAUUUCCUUCAUCCUAACAGCCACUCACACAGACCAGCCAUCAUGUCCGCUGCCGGAGCUCCCGAGUACGACCCUGAUGCAGAAUUUGUGUAUGACUACCAGACUCUUCGUAUUGGGAGGUCUGACCUUCGUUGCAGUCCAUGAUCCGUCGGUUCUCCUGCUGGCCAGUGAGUCUCCAGGCCAGACUUGUGUGUGUGUGUGUGUGUGUGUGUGUGUGUGUUUGUGUGUGUGUGUGGUGUGUGUGUGUGUGUGUGUGUGUGUGUGUGUGUGUGUGUGUGUGUGUGUGUGUGUGUGUGUGGUGUGUGUGUGUGUGUGUGUGUGGCACUCUCUCCAAUGACUGACUUAAAGCGAUUAACUACCCCCCCUUAAACCAGUUAAAUUGAGAGUGUCUCUAUUACCUUGCUGUCUGGGGGCAUGGGGAGUGCUGUAAUAGGCUGUAUCAUCAUUACUCACUGAUUGGUUUUCUCUCUCAUCCCCUAGGCAACAAAAUCCGCAGGUGUGGAAAGCCCAGGGUGAGUGUCCUCAUAUCAGACAAUGGAAUACAAAUAAGAUGAGAGAUAGGCUACAUCUUGAGUAUGAAAGGCAGUCCACAUCCCUCCUCCAACGGUCAAUCAAUGAAUAUGUGGUGUUGUAGAAACCGUAGGGAUCCAUUGAGCAAGUUGCUCUCAGAGAAAGCAGUUGUGAAGCAGUAUUUAAGUGACAUCUGCUGGUCAUUUUGAGACAUAGAGUAAGGGGUCUGGAAGACAAACUUGGCUGAAGCGCUUGGCUCCUAUAAGGAGCAUAGGCCGUUGAUGAAUGCCCUCCAUCUCACUCGGUUUGGGACACAUUCUUCCAGGUCACACCAGUUGUGGCAGCUCUCAGUCAUUUCUGCCUUGACUUCUCUCCUCCAAGUGUUUCUUGGGUACUGGAAGAAUACGAGAUUAUUCAUGAAUGAGGAAUCAUGGUCCACAAUGUACUGUACAAUACCGUACUCCUAACGAAUCAGUUAUACAUAUUACUAUAUGUAAUAGUACCAGUAAUUCAGGCAUUCAUUUACAGUCGUACCAAAAUCCACGAGUUAAAUACUUGUCUAUGUUAGAUCUACUACACCUGAAGGGGGGAAUAUAAAUGGCAUCGUAACAGUCACUAUUUCCACAAGAGAAUAUCCAGUGAAGAUCCAGUGAGUUCUGUUGUUAACGUCUUGUCCCUCUGCUAUGUGUGUUCCAGGAAAGAAAGGUCGAAGAGAAACCCCUAGCGUAGGACGGCUGGGCGCUUGUAUGUUGUUGACUGUAAUGUGUGAGACUGCAUUCCUUUUUGUAUUGAUAAACUGUGGACCCACUGUCGCUGUCCUGUGUUUUACUACAAAGUAUGUUUGAAAAUCAACCUGUGUAAAUGUGUUAGGGUGUUCUACCGGGACGGCCAGGUAGCCUAUCCGUGAAGAGCGUUUGAAAAAUCUGUCCACGCGCCAUUGAGCAAGGCACUUAACCCCUGUAAGUCGCUCUGGAUAAGAGCAUCUGCUAAAAUGCAAAGUAGUCACUGGGAUUGUAACUCUAUGGUGUUAGGCAUAUACUGACUGGCCAACUAGUUCUAUAGCCUCCGUGUUAGCAGAAGCCUACAAUGAACCACAGCCAAGUGGUCUCGAUAUUAAAUGGCUCAGAAAGUUAAGUGCCCAGUAACCAUAAAAUGUGAUGGUUCAAACCCUGCUGUCGCCUCUCAAUUGUUUCGGUAAUGAAUGAAGUUGGAGACGGUCCCAUCCCUACAUGUAACAUAUGUGGCCACGAGAUGGCAGCAAAACAUUAUUUGGCCAUGGCCAUAGACUUGUCUUGCGCUAUUUAUCACACCUGAAAAACUAACGAGGGGGGUUUCAUUAGCAGGAUUCCGUUGCAAAACGUUUCAUCUGUUUAAUCCGAAAGCUGUUGAGUUCCGAAAUU